rnacentral:rRNA from 1 species
UGAGUGGAGCUUGCUCCAUGAUUCAGCGGCGGACGGGUGAGUAUUGCCUAGGAAUCUGCCUGGUAGUGGGGGACAACGUUUCAAAAGGAACGCUAAUACCGCAUACGUCCUACGGGAGAAAGCAGGGGACCUUCGGGCCUUGCGCUAUCAGAUGAGCCUAGGUCGGAUUAGCUAGUAUGUGGGGUAAUGGCUCACCUAGGCGACGAUCCGUAACUGGUCUGAGAGGAUGAUCAGUCACACUGGAACUGAUACACGGUCCAUACUCCUACGGGAGGCAUCAGUGGGGAAUAUUGGACAAUGGGCGAAAGCCUGAUCCAGCCAUGCCGCGUGUGUGAAGAAGGUCUUCGGAUUGUAAAGCACUUUAAGUUGGGAGGAAGGGCAUUAAGUUAAUACCUUGCUGUUUUGACGUUACC